rnacentral:rRNA from 1 species
UACGUAGGGUGCAAGCGUUGUCCGGAAUUAUUGGGCGUAAAGAGCUCGUAGGCGGUCUGUCGCGUCGGCUGUGAAAACUCGGGGCUCAACUCCGAGCUUGCAGUCGAUACGGGCAGGCUAGAGUUCGGCAGGGGAGACUGGAAUUCCUGGUGUAGCGGUGGAAUGCGCAGAUAUCAGGAGGAACACCGGUGGCGAAGGCGGGUCUCUGGGCAGUAACUGACGCUGAGGAGCGAAAGCGUGGGGAGCGAACAGG